GAAGAAUUAACUUGUUUUUUCUUAUUCAGGUAUAAUGGAAAGUCAUAUGUUGGGGUGCUCAUCUUUCGAUUUCCAAAAGUUUGGAGCUUUUUCGUGGUGCAGUCGAAUAUAUUAAGUGAUGUCUUCACACGGUUUAGGUUCCUAGUUCAUUUUUUGAAGUCGUCGUGCAUAGGAUCCAUAGAUCCAUUUAUCUAUUUUCUUACUAACCCAACCUGGUUGUAUAUUCGAAUGCUCCCUAGGGUUCCUAGUUGUAUAUCCAUUUC
rnacentral:lncRNA from 7 species